GCGUCGAUUAUGCGAAAAGAAGGUGAAGUCUGGAUUGCCUGCCAUGGGCGCGAAGGCGAAGGCGGAGGCGGAGGGCUAAGCUACGAAGCCAAAACAAUGGCUAGCGAGGAGAUUGACGCCUGGCGUGAAAGCAAACGAAUUGAUUGCAUUUCUGAUUCUCUUUGAGUGCCUGCUACAAAAUGAUGCAAGUCCACUGCAUUGCAACAUACCAGCCACUCCAACCAGAUAAUGCUAACAGAAUUUCAAUCCUCACCCAGACAGAGACAGGAUAGAUCAAUUUCCCUCCACUCCAUGCUCUCUUAAGUGAGGUUUUACAGCUGCACCAGAAACUGGAAAUAUUUAGACCUCAAGAAUCGAAGUUGUACGAACAAAGAUUCGAUUGGCAAACAAUACAAAUACAAGCCCUGGAUGGCACCCUGGCAAACAAGAUCAAGAGGGCAUCUUCGGU